UGCGUAGGUGGUUAGGUAAGACCUGUGGGAAAGACCUGGGCUUAAACCCAGGAAGGUCGCAGGUGACUGCCUGGCUAGAGGGCGGGAGAGGAGCGCGGAAUUCCCGGUGUAGCGGUGAAAUGCGUAGAGAUCGGGAGGAAGGCCGGUGGCGAAGGCGGCGCUCUGGAACGUUCCUGACACUGAGGCACGAAAGCGUGGGGAGCAAACAGGAUUAGAUACCCUGGUAGUCCACGCCCUAAACGAUGGGUACUAAGUGUCGGCGGGUUACCGCCGGUGCCGCACCUAACGGAGUAAGUACCCCGCCUGGGGAGUACGGCCGCAAGGUUGAA
rnacentral:rRNA from 1 species